CCUACGGGAGGCAGCAGUGAGGAAUAUUGGUCAAUGGACGAGAGUCUGAACCAGCCAAGUAGCGUGAAGGAUGACUGCCCUAUGGGUUGUAAACUUCUUUUAUAUGGGAAUAAAAUGUUCCACGUGUGGGAUUUUGUAUGUACCAUAUGAAUAAGGAUCGGCUAACUCCGUGCCAGCAGCCGCGGUAAUACGGAGGAUCCGAGCGUUAUCCGGAUUUAUUGGGUUUAAAGGGAGCGUAGGUGGAUUGUUAAGUCAGUUGUGAAAGUUUGCGGCUCAACCGUAAAAUUGCAGUUGAAACUGGCAGUCUUGAGUACAGUAGAGGUGGGCGGAAUGCGUGGUGUAGCGGUGAAAUGCUUAGAUAUCACGAAGAACUCCGAUUGCGAAGGCAGUUCACUGGACUGCAACUGACACUGAGGCUCGAAAGUGUGGGUAUCAAACAGGAGUAGAUACCCGUGUAGUC
rnacentral:rRNA from 1 species